AUUGAACGCUGGCGGCAUGCCUUACACAUGCAAGUCGAACGGUAACGCGGGGCAACCUGGCGACGAGUGGCGAACGGGUGAGUAAAGUAUCGGAACGUGCCCAAUAGUGGGGGAUAGCCCGGCGAAAGCCGGAUUAAUACCGCAUGAGACCUGAGGGUGAAAGCGGGGGACUCGCAAGAGCCUCGCGCUGUUGGAGCGGCCGAUAUCAGAUUAGGUAGUUGGUGGGGUAAAGGCCUACCAAGCCGACGAUCUGUAGCUGGUCUGAGAGGACGACCAGCCACACUGGGACUGAGACACGGCCCAGACUCCUACGGGAGGCAGCAGUGGGGAAUUUUGGACAAUGGGCGCAAGCCUGAUCCAGCCAUUCCGCGUGCAGGAUGAAGGCCUCGGUGUAACUGCUUUGUACGGUAACGAAACGGUACGUCUCUAAUAC
rnacentral:rRNA from 1 species